UGGAUAACUUUGGAUAACUGGAACAAGAUAAGACUGGCAAUACAAGAGGAAUGUCUUUUAGUUUCAGAAGAAUGAUGUUCUUCAUUCCUUUGGAGGACAUGCAUGCAAACUUCAUCAUGUGGCAUCAGUCUGGAAAAAAGAGAUCCUGAAAUCAAAGGAGAGAAGAAGUCACAUUUAAGUAGAAGAACACGCAGAGGAAGCACCAAUAGAAAGUUAAGAUGAAGCAGAGACUGGGAACUAAAUGAAGGACCUGCUGUGCAGACUGCUAAAGAUUAUUUAAAGAAGACAUUAUAGCAGUCUCUGUGAGAGAGCAGUACUUAACAUUUGCAGGUGCAUUGGCAGUCACAUCUUAACGACGAUUGUCUGCUGCGAGCAGCACUGUCGUUACCAGCAACUCACUGCUCUUAGUGUAUCGUUCAACCUCUUAAGUUCUGUCAAAGUGAUUUUGUGCUGUGCUUAAUAAUACGUAUGUGACACUUUUGGGUAGUUAUUGGCUUCCUCUCUCUAUCAGAGUCUGCGGGCACUCUCAUUAGUUCUUUUGCAAACAUUAUUGUGUACUUACUUGUGUACUCUGAUGAUGUGAAUAACUCUAAUUUUCAUUUGAGGAAAUUCUGGUUGUCAGACGGCUCUCUUCUCCAUCUAUUGCAAGAGCCCUUCCUUAUUAAGUAGCACGGUGCUCAAAUAACACCAUUAUGCAUCUUUUGAACUGUUCUUAUAGUGUUUUUAUUUGUAUUUAUUUUAAAUGUAUAUUUUGAAGAUGUUUAAACAUAAGCUAAAAGAAUACAGGUUACAUGUAAAAUUCAAGUGUAUAUAUAAAUAUAUAUACAUUAACUUACUAUUGAACUAACUGCUAUUUCCAUGGACAUUGUUAGAGAUGAUCACCACUCUGAGGCAUUUCUUUAAAAAAUCCUAUUCUAUGUUAUAUUUAUCUUUUUGACAUUUUUUUCUUGUUUAAGCAAUAUCGUUUGUUAUGUAACAUUCAUAUUAAAGAAAGUCAAAUUCAGUGUUAUUUUUCAACACUAAUAAAUUAUCUUCUAUGUUUUCAUUCUCCU